GUUCUGCCAAUUCAUUGCUUGCGGCUUCACUUCAGGGCCAGGCGUCUCCUCCUGCUGCUUUUGGCUGAGUGAAGUUGCGAGGCUGUUUUCCCUGCAGCAGUACUCCAGCGUCCGCUCAGGUGCCAAGUGUUGUGCCCCAGUGUCAGGAAAGAUGACUAAUUCACAAAUGGAGCAGUCUCCUGGAUUAUGGCAGUGAACCAGGAGCUGGAACCCAAAGUAUGAACUCCUCAGGCUUGGCCAAUGCUAUUGUCACUACUGAUACCAGCCUUCAGGGGAGUUGGAGUCAGCAGAAAGGAGCACUAACUUCUGGGAGGGAAAGAAAAUGCAGUGACCACCUAUGGCUUCACCUGCAAAGCGCCCAGAGGCAUCUGCCCCUACUGGCUCCAGGUAGCCUAAGAUGGACCUAAGUCACCUGAGAUUUGAUGGGAAGUAAUGGCUGGAAUGGUUGCUGUCACCCCAAGUUCACGUCAGAAGAUUCCACACUGUAACCCAGAAACGAAAAGAAGCUCAUUGUGAUUCUGUUGAGCAGACCCUGGAGGGAGUCCCCCCCCCCCAGGAAUGGACCGAGAGGCUGUGGACACAGAGAGGCUGGGGUCCCCCAGAACUGUCGGGGGCCUCCUCUCUUCAGACACCCGUGUGGGUGGGCCUGCUUUGUCUCUGUCCCCAUAACAAGAAGCUUGCAGAAGGGCGUGAAGGUGGGUCUGACCCUCAGGUGUGACCUGCGGAAGCUCUUUUACUCUGAACAGUGACCCCCAUCCAUCAAGCGGAAACUUAACUUUGAGUGAGAACCUCCCCCUGGACCCUUCAGGCACUAAAAAUGGCUCAAAUCAGACCUGCUGAAAGUGACUUCCCCCUCUCCCUUUCUCCUCACAGAGCUAAAGAUUGCUUUGAAAAGUUCAUUGAAAAGACUGAAUAAU